UACGGAGGGUGCAAGCGUUAUCCGGAUUCACUGGGUUUAAAGGGUGCGUAGGAGGGCAGGUAAGUCAGUGGUGAAAUCUCCAAGCUUAACUUGGAAACUGCCGUUGAUACUAUCUGUCUUGAAUAUUGUGGAGGUGAGCGGAAUAUGUCAUGUAGCGGUGAAAUGCUUAGAUAUGACAUAGAACACCAAUUGCGAAGGCAGCUCGCUACACAUAUAUUGACGCUGAGGCACGAAAGCGUGGGGAUCAAACAGG
rnacentral:rRNA from 1 species